rnacentral:rRNA from 1 species
AUUGAACGCUGGCGGCAUGCCUUACACAUGCAAGUCGAACGGCAGCACGGGGCAACCUGGUGGCGAGUGGCGAACGGGUGAGUAAUGCAUCGGAACGUACCUUUCAGUGGGGGAUAACGUAGCGAAAGUUACGCUAAUACCGCAUAUUCUGUGAGCAGGAAAGCAGGGGAUCGCAAGACCUUGCGCUGAUUGAGCGGCCGAUGUCAGAUUAGCUAGUCGGUGAGGUAAAGGCUCACCAAGGCGACGAUCUGUAGCGGGUCUGAGAGGAUGAUCCGCCACACGGGAACUGAGACACGGUCCAGACUCCUACGGGAGGCAGCAGUGGGGAAUUUUGGACAAUGGGGGCAGCCCUGAUCCAGCCAUGCCGCGUGAGUGAAGAAGGCCUUCGGGUUGUAAAGCUCUUUCGGCCGGGAAGAAAUCGCACGGGCUAAUACCCUGUGUGGAUGACGGUACCGGAAUAAGAAGCACCGGCUAACUACGUGCCAGCCGCCGCCGUAAAAC